rnacentral:rRNA from 1 species
GGAGGAGGGCGGGUCUUACCAUGCAAGUCGAGCGGUAAGGCCCUUCGGGGUACACGAGCGGCGAACGGGUGAGUAACACGUGAGCAACCUGCCCCUGACUCCGGGAUAAGCGGUGGAAACGCCGUCUAAUACCGGAUACGACCCGCCACCUCAUGGUGGAGGGUGGAAAGUUUUUCGGUCAGGGAUGGGCUCGCGGCCUAUCAGCUUGUUGGUGGGGUAACGGCCUACCAAGGCGAUUACGGGUAGCCGGCCUGAGAGGGCGACCGGCCACACUGGGACUGAGACACGGCCCAGACUCCUGCGGGAGGCAGCAGUGGGGAAUAUUGCGCAAUGGGCGAAAGCCUGACGCAGCGACGCCGCGUGGGGGAUGACGGCCUUCGGGUUGUAAACCUCUUUUACCACCAACGCAGGCUCCCAGUUCUCUGGGGGUUGACGGUAGGUGGGGAAUAAGGACCGGCUAACUACGUGCCAGCAGCCGCGGUAAUACGUAGGGUCCGAGCGUUGUCCGGAAUUAUUGGGCGUAAAGAGCUCGUAGGCGGCGUGUCGCGUCUGCUGUGAAAGACCGGGGCUUAACUCCGGUUCUGCAGUGGAUACGGGCAUGCUAGAGGUAGGUAGGGGAGACUGGAAUUCCUGGUGUAGCGGUGAAAUGCGCAGAUAUCAGGAGGAACACCGGUGGCGAAGGCGGGUCUCUGGGCCUUACCUGACGCUGAGGAGCGAAAGCAUGGGGAGCGAACAGGAUUAGAUACCCUGGUAGUCCAUGCCGUAAACGUUGGGCGCUAGGUGUGGGGACUUUCCACGGUUUCCGCGCCGUAGCUAACGCAUUAAGCGCCCCGCCUGGGGAGUACGGCCGCAAGGCUAAAACUCAAAGGAAUUGACGGGGGCCCGCACAAGCGGCGGAGCAUGUUGCUUAAUUCGACGCAACGCGAAGAACCUUACCAAGGUUUGACAUCACCCGUGGACUCGCAGAGAUGUGAGGUCAUUUAGUUGGCGGGUGACAGGU